rnacentral:rRNA from 1 species
AGAGUUUGAUCAUGGCUCAGAUUGAACGCUGGCGGCAGGCCUAACACAUGCAAGUCGAGCGGUAGCACAGAGAGCUUGCUCUCGGGUGACGAGCGGCGGACGGGUGAGUAAUGUCUGGGAAACUGCCUGAUGGAGGGGGAUAACUACUGGAAACGGUAGCUAAUACCGCAUAAUGUCGCAAGACCAAAGUGGGGGACCUUCGGGCCUCAUGCCACAGAUGUGCCCAGAUGGGAUUAGCUUGUAGGGGGGGUACGGCUCACCUAGGCGACGUCCCUGCUGGUCUGAGAGGAUGACCAGCCACACUGGAACUGAGGACACGGUCCAAAUCCUCGGGAGGCAGCAGUGCGGGAAAUUAUGGCCAAUGGGCGCAAGCCUGAUGCAGCCAUGCCGCGUGUGUGCGAAGGCCUUGGGUGAAACAGUUUCAGCGGGGAGGAAGGCGGUGAGGAUUAAUAACCUAAUCGAUUGACGUUACACGCAGAAAGAAGCACCGGCUAACUCCGGGCCAGCUAGCCGCGGUAAUACGGAGGGUGCACGCGUAUCGGUAUUAACUGGGGUAAGCGCACGCAGGCGGGUCUGUCAAGGCGGAGGGAAUCACCGGGCUCAACCUGGGAAGGCAUCGAAACUGGCAGGCUAGAGUAUUGUAGAGGGGGGUAGAAUUCCAGGUGUAGCGGUGAAAUGCGUAGAGAUCUGGAGGAUACCGGUGGCGAAGGCGGCCAAUGGACAAAGACUGACGCUAAGGUGCGAAAGCGUGGGGAGCAAAAGGAGUAGUACCCUGGUAGGCACGCACCGUAAAACCGAUGUCGAUUUGGCGGUUGUGCCCUUGCAGCGUGGCUCCGGUAGCUAAGCGUAAAUCGACCGCCUGGGGGAGGACGGCAGCAAGGUUUAAAACUCAAAUGAAUUGGACGGGGCCGCACAACGCGGUGGAGCAUGUGGGUUUAAGUUAGAGCAACGCGAAGAUACCGUACCUGGCUUGACCUCCACAGAAUAUUAGCAGAGAUCUUUGGUGCCUGGGACUGGAGACAGGGGCCUGCAUGGCUGUCUCAGCUCGUGUUGUGAAAUGUGGGUUAAGGCACGCAACGAGCGCAACCUUAUCCUUUGGUGAGCGGUCCGGCGGGAAUUCAAGAGACUGCAGUGAAAAUGGAGGAAGGUGGGGAUGACGUCAAGUCAUCAUGGAACUUACGACCAGGUACCACAACGUGCUACAAUGGAUAUAACAAAGAGAAGCGACCUCGCGAGGAGCAAGCGGACCUCAUAAAGAUGUCGUAGUCCGGAUUGGAGUUAUGCAACUCGACUCAAUGAAGUCGGAAUCGCUAGGAAUCGUAGAUAAGAAUGCUACGGUGAAUACGUUCACGGGCCUGUACACACCGCCCGUACACCAUGGGAGUGGGUUGCCAAAAGAAGUAGGUAGAUUUAACCACCACCAUUCGGGAGGGCGCUUACCACUUUGUGAUUCAUGACUGGGGUGAAGUCGUAACAAGGUAACCGUAGGGGAACCUGCGGUUGGAUCACCU